CACGUCAUUUUUACAAAGCCUGGGCAAUCAGUUAUCUACUAGCCCAACCCAAAACCGUUAUCCUAUUAUCCGUACAGCUCAAGCUCAAGCUCAAGCUCAAAGAGAAGAAAAGGCGCCCCCCUCCCCCUUUUCUCAGCUACUCUUCCCUGCGCAUUAGCAACCAAGAAAACUUGAGGUGGGGUUUGGCUGUUUAUGCAUUUACUCAGUUGGUAAUCGAUUUUGCACUCUUUGAUGCUUUACUUUCUUCGGUUAAUCUCGUGAUGCAUUCCUGGAAUUACAUAGAGAAUCUUUCGUCAGUUUUUGGUUGAACUAUGAACCGCAUGUUAGACCCUAAACAAACCAAAGAAAGAUGUCGUCUUUGAGUGUGUGGGUAGGGAAUGAGGGUUUUAGUUGUCUCACGAGCACAACUUGGAUUGCUUUAUUGCUUUUUUGAGAAGCUGAAAAAUGUGGGGUUACAUUCAUGUUCUUAAUGAGCACUUCAAUGGUCUUAUGCCACAACUUCAUCUUCGCUAACCGGAAAGUGCGUCGGGGAUUGUGUUCUUUCCACGAUUCAUCUAAUUCUGUGGCUCAAUUGGGUUGUAAGCGCAGGUGGGUUAGUGGGUUUAUUCCGAAUGCUAAGAAGAAUAGCCGCAAUUCGAGGAAAAGGAGUUGGUGGCAGAAGUUCUUUUUCGAUGAUGAAGGGAAUUGGCUUGGUUUGAAGGAUGAUGACAUGCUUGAGGACCAAUCGGAGGGCUUGAGUGAUGAAGAGUUGUCUGAAGGAGACAAGUUUGAGGCGUGGAAGAGGAGGGCUGAGGCGAUCAUAGAGUUGAGGGAAGCACAGGAGGAUAUGGUGAAUGAGGAGAGUCGGAGGUGGGAGGAUUGGCUUGUGGAUGGGACAAACCAUGUUAAUGGUCCUUCCUGGAGUCAAGAUUGGGACAAUGGAGCAGGGGAGUCGAGGGAAGAUGUGGCAGAUCCCACUGAGAUGGUUCCUGAGAGGGGUUGGGCUGAGUCUGUGAGGGAUUUGGUCCUUGGUCAGGAAGAUGAUGAUAUGCUCUAUGAAGACCGAGUAUUUCGGUAUGCCUCACUGAAUUCGGCUAAAUUUUUGGCUGUAUUGAUAAUUAUACCCUGGGCCUUGGAUUUUGUGGUGCAUGACUAUGUUCUCAUGCCUUUUUUGGACAGAUAUGUAAAGACGGUUCCACUUGCGGCACAGAUGCUAGAUGUGAGAAGAAAUCAAAAGCUUGAAAUGGUAAAAGAAUUAAAAAUUGAGAGAGCAAGAUUCAAGCUUGAGGUAGACAUUGGUAAAUCUCCACCUCUUUCUGAUGAAGAAGUUUGGUGGGAGUUACGGCAUAAAGCAUUAGAGUUGAGAGAUGAGUGGAGGUUAGAGAACCGUAGAGCAUUUGCCAACAUAUGGUCAGAUGUGGUAUUUGGGAUCUCAUUAUUCAUUCUUUUAUACUUCAAUCAGGCUAAAGUAGCUUUGCUGAAGUUCACGGGUUACAAAAUAAUAAAUAACAUUUCAGAUACUGGGAAGGCAUUCUUAAUUAUACUUAUCACAGAUAUUUUUUUAGGGUAUCACUCUGAAUCUGGAUGGCAGACUUUGUUAGAGAUAAUUGUUGAGCAUUAUGGGCUCGAGGUUGAUCAGGCUACUGUAACCAUAUUUAUCUGCCUAGUUCCAGUUAUCAUUGAUGCGUGUGUGAAACUCUGGUUGUUCAAAUUCCUUCCAAGGUUAUCCCCUAAGGUGGCAAACAUUUUCCGCGAAAUGAAGCGUCACUAGUGAAAUUUUUAAUUAGGGUUUCCUCUGGCCAUUUGAAGAAAUUCUGAAGGAAGGUGGUGACCACACUCCACAGGGUUUUGGUUCCUAAAGCCAGCUGGUAUAUUUCUUGUUUGUUUGUAGCCAUUUAAUGUUGGGGGGUGUGUUUGAUAUUUUUUUUUCUAGUUUGGUUUGCUUAGAGACUAAGGAUUAAAUUUAAGGUCCCCCACGGCACCACAACAAUUUGACUGCAACAAUUUUGUUUCUUAACAACCACGCUAGCUAAACAACAAAACGCCGAUCAAGCUGUAAUAAAAGCGACUUCAAUGCCACGCGGAUUGCAGAAGAAUGAAUUAUUUAUUUUAUUUUAUUUUGUAAGUGAAGAAUGAAUUAUUAAUUAGUCAAUGAAUGGUGUGUGACCGCCAUAUUGAUAUGGAGAAAA